rnacentral:misc_RNA from 1 species
CCAAUGAUUGGGAACCAGUUGAGGUUGAUAGAUCUCCUGGUUGCUAAAAUCAAAUACCCAUCUUUGUGCACCUUUUUUAUGUCUCUGGUGGUCGUAAGAGAAGUCUCUUAUUUGGAGGAUCUCUUCUAGUUCAUUUUGAUCCUCGGACAAAUGAAUGAAGCCACCAAAUGGUUGCUAUAACACACUUUUUUGCCGUCCAAAAUAUCUGUCUAACAUUGAUUUGUGUAAAAUACAUAAAA